CCUACGGGAGGCAGCAGUGGGGGAUAUUGCACAAUGGGGGAAACCCUGAUGCAGCGACGCCGCGUGGGCGAAGAAGUAUUUCGGUAUGUAAAGCCCUAUCAGCAGGGAAGAAGAAAUGACGGUACCUGACUAAGAAGCCCCGGCUAACUACGUGCCAGCAGCCGCGGUAAUACGUAGGGGGCAAGCGUUAUCCGGAUUUACUGGGGGUAAAGGGGGCGCAGACGGCAGCGCAAGCCAGGAGUGAAAGCCCGGGGCCCAACCCCGGGACUGCUCUUGGAACUGCGCGGCUGGAGUGCAGGAGGGGCAGGCGGAAUUCCUGGUGUAGCGGUGAAAUGCGUAGAUAUCAGGAGGAACACCGGUGGCGAAGGCGGCCUGCUGGACUGCGACUGACGUUGAGGCCCGAAAGCGUGGGGAGCAAACAGGAUUAGAUACCCCAGUAGUC
rnacentral:rRNA from 1 species